CUGUGAGACUGCGAACGGCUCAUUAUAUCAGUAAUAAUUUCUUCGGUAGUUUCUUUUAUAUGGAUACCUGCAGUAAUUCUGGAAAUAAUACAUGCUGUAAGAGCCCUGUAUGGGGCUGCACUUAUUAGAUUGAAGCCGAUUUUAUUGGUGAAUCAUGAUAAUUGAGCAGAUUGACUUUUUUGGUCGAUGAAUCGUUUGAGUUUCUGCCCCAUCAUUUGUCGACGGUAGUGUAUUGGACUACGGGGACUAUAACGGGUGACGGAGAGUUAGGGCUCGACUCCGGAGAGGGAGCCUGAGAAACGGCUACCAUAUCCAAGGAUAGCAGCAGGCGCGUAAAUUACCCACUGUGGACUCCACGAGGAAGUGACGAGAAAUAUCGAUGCGAAGCGUGUAUGCGUUUUGCUAUCGGAAUGAGAGCAAUGUAAAACCCUCAUCGAGGAUCAACUGGAGGGCAAGUCUGGUGCCACCAGCCGCGGUAAUUCCAGCUCCAAAAGCAUAUGCUAAAGUUGUUGCAGUUAAAAAGCCCGAAAUUGAAUUUCUGGCAGGGGCGACCGGUGCUUUCCCUGAAUGGGAAUUGAUUGUCUGUGUUGCCUUGGCCAU
rnacentral:rRNA from 1 species